AUCCUGGAUCACCAUGACUCAGCAAUGUGCUUCUCUCUUCUGUUCUUAUUCCAUUUCACCCAUUUGCAGAAGGGGCAAAAGAGUCCUUCUGCAUACAAAAAUCUUUUAAUCUAAAACAGUGGUUUUUUCCCCCUUUUUUGAGUGUAAACAAUUUUUUGAAAUGAAGAAUGAGGAAGUGAAGAUAAGCAGCUGAGGCAGGGCUGGAGUGGCUGUCUGAGUCAUGCAUCGUUUUGUUGCAGAAGGCCGUCCCUAAAUUAUAUCUGCUUUUGUUAGCACUUUGUUAGUUACUUUUGAGCUUCCAUAACAAUCCAUAAAUGUGGAUGUGUCAGAUGAUUAAAGACUGGAAAUAUGAAAAAGAGCUGGAAGCCAAAAAGACAAGCUGUCACCAGUAGAUCUGGCUGCUCCCCCAAGCCUCUCUGUGAAACCGGCAGUGUGGGAGCAAGAACAAGCAACGGGCUUGCUGUCAAAGGAAUUACUAGGAACAAGCUGAGGAAGAGCAAGGGGUCUUCUGCCAGGGCCCAGGAAACAACCAGGUGCUGUGUUUUGAAGUAGGACAUCAACGCACGUCCCUGCUGCCAGCCGGGCAGCACCCGUGUGAGCAUCAGCCCUGUGGUGGGUGCCUUGCCGCAAG
rnacentral:lncRNA from 1 species